CCCACACAGACCCCUUUAACCGUAUUGAGAACUUCUAUAGCACUAUAGAACCUUUCAUGCUAAAACUAGUAACAAGAGUUAACCCUCUCCACAAUGCAAGUAUAAGCCAGCAAGAACCCACCACUGGCAACUAACAGACCUAAACAAAAGUAGCAACUUUUGCCAGAAAACUCUACUUUACUCACUGUUAACCUUACACCAGAGCAUUUCAAGAAAGAUUAAAAGGAAAAGAAGGAACUCGGCAAACAUUAGCCCCGCCUGUUUACCAAAAACAUCGCCUCUUGUCCAUAUAAGAGGUCCAGCCUGCCCAGUGACUCUUGUUCAACGGCCGCGGUAUCCUAACCGUGCGAAGGUAGCGUAAUCACUUGUCUUCUAAAUAAAGACCAGUAUGAAAGGCAUCACGAGGGCUAAACUGUCUCCUUUCCCUAAUCAGUGAACCUAAUCUCCCCGUGAAGAAGCGGGGAUUAUUAUAUAAGACGAGAAGACCCUAUGGAGCUUUAAACAUCACAACACCUGCCUUACACUUUUAUCUACCCAGGUAUACCCUCUCACAGCACACUGAUUGUAUGUUUUUGGUUGGGGUGACCGCGGAGAAAAACUAAUCCUCCGCAAUGAAAGGGAUCUUCCCUAAACAAUAAGCCACAACUUUAUGUAUCCACAAAUUGACAUUCAUUGACCCAAUACAUUUGAUUAACGAACCAAGUUACCCUAGGGAUAACAGCGCAAUCCACUUCAAGAGCCCCUAUCGACAAGUGGGCUUACGACCUCGAUGUUGGAUCGGGGUAUCCUAGUGGUGCAACCGCUACUAAAGGUUCGUUUGUUCAACGAUUAAAACCCUACGUG
rnacentral:rRNA from 1 species